AGGAUGGGCCAAGAGAAGCUCCAUCCGUGCUUCAUCCCACCCCCACCCCUUGACUCUCAGCCCAUGUCCAGUCAGGUGAGGUGCCCAGAGUACCUCCCGAGCAGCACCACCGCCUUGCUGACAGUGACUGUGUGUCCCCCUAGCAACCCUCGAUGAUGUUGUGGAGGCCGGCGGGAGUGAGAAGACGGAGGAAGAGGCCCUGGCUGGGGCAAAUGAGGAGGAGGUGGGGCCGGGAACUGAGAAGGUGCAGGAGGAGGCUGCCUGCAUUGACGAGGCAGAGGAGGAGGCAGGCCCAUCCCUUGAAAAUGACGAGGAGUCCCCAGCCAGCGACCUGGUUGAGCAGGAAGACCAGCUUGCCCCCAAGGUGGACGGGAUGGACGAUGAAAGCCGUAAGUAUUCUGGAACCCGGCUCUGCUGAGGAGAAGUCCAGGUGUUGAGGAAGGGCGGGGGUGCUUUCCUGCCCCUUUGGUUUGCAGAGACACCCUGAUUCUGGUUCCUC
rnacentral:lncRNA from 1 species